UACGUAGGGGGCAAGCGUCAUCCGGAAUUACUGGGUGUAAAGGGAGAGUAGGCGGUAUGGUAAGUUAGAUGUGAAAGCCUGAGGCUUAACCACAGGAUUGCAUUUAAAACUAUCAAACUAGAGUACAGGAGAGGGAAGCGGAAUUCCUAGUGUAGCGGUGAAAUGCGUAGAUAUUAGGAAGAACACCAGUGGCGAAGGCGGCUUUCUGGACUGAAACUGACGCUGAGGCUCGAAAGCGUGGGGAGCGAACAGG
rnacentral:rRNA from 1 species